rnacentral:rRNA from 1 species
GUCAAUGGCCUAACGGCCGAACCAGCAACUUGGCAGAAUGUACAGUUUUAACUGGUUACAUUGAUACAAAUGUAAUAUCAACUAUGUUGAUUAAAGUUCGAAAUAGAAAAUUGAUGAUGACAUAUUCUAUUUUUAGUCUUGACUAAUACACGUGCCAGCAGUCGCGGUAAUACGUGUAAGACGAGUGUUAUUCAUUAUUAAUAGGUUUAAAGGGUACGUAGACGGUUAAUCAAGCCUAUAUAUUAAUUGGUCCAUUAACAAGAUCAGGAACUGAUUAACUAGAGUUUUAUGGAAGAAGGUUAGAGCGGUGAGUGUAGAGAUAAUAUUCUGUGAUACCACUUAGAGACUGGCGAAGGCGUAGGCAACCUUUUAUGCAUAAACUGACGUUGAGGGACGAAGGCUCGAUUAAGUAACAGGAUUAGAUACCCUAGUAUUGUGAGCAGACAAUGAUGAAUGCCUUAUAUAAGAUACGAGAUUAUUUUGUGUAAAAAUGAAAGUGCAAGCAUUCCACCUCAAGAGUAAUAUGGCAACAUAUAAACUGAAAUCAUUAGACCGUUUCUGAAACCAGUAGUGAAGUAUGUUGUUUAAUUUGAUAAUCCACAAAUAACCUUACCACAAUUUGAAUAUAUGUACCUUUUUGUAAAGGUAAAAAAGUACAAAUACAAGCGUUGCACGGCUGUCUUCAGUUAAUGUCGCGAGAUUUUGGUUAGAUCCAUUAAAUUAACGUAAACCCUUACUUUAUUUAUUAUAAAGUAGUUCGCCAUUAUAUUGGUAGUGAUAUAUGGGACCAAGACAAGUCAUCAUGGCCUAAAUAUUG